AGUGAACGCUGGCGGCAGGCCUAACACAUGCAAGUCGAACGGAUGAAGGGAGCUUGCUUCUGGAUUCAGCGGCGGACGGGUGAGUAAUGCCGAGGAAUCUGCCUGUUAGUUUGGGAGAAGGUCCGGAAACGGGCGCUAAUACGCCAUUCGUCCUGAGGAAGAAAGUGUGGGAGCUUCGGACCUCACGCUAUCGCAUGAUCCUAGGUCGGAUUAGCUAGUUGGUGGGGUAAAGGCCUACCAAGGCGACGAUCCGUAACUGGUCUGAGAGGAUGAUCAGUCACACUGGAACUGAGACACGGUCCAGACUCCUACGGGAGGCAGCAGUGGGGAAUAUUGGACAAUGGGCGCAAGCCUGAUCCAGCCAUGCCGCGUGUGUGAAGAAGGUCUUCGGAUUGUAAAGCACUUUAAGUUGGGAGGAAGGGCAGUAAGUUAAUACCUUGCUGUUCUGACGUUACCAACAGAAUAAGCACCGGCUAACUUCGUG
rnacentral:rRNA from 1 species